GGUUGUAUGGUGCAAUGGUAACGCGUUUACUUUAUAGCAAAAGGUUUUGGGUUUAAUUCCCGGUGCAACCG
rfam:Gaeumannomyces graminis var. tritici R3-111a-1 unplaced genomic scaffold supercont2.2, whole genome shotgun sequence.